AUCGAUGAAGAACGCAGCGAAAUGCGAUAAGUAAUGUGAAUUGCAGAAUUCAGUGAAUCAUCGAAUCUUUGAACGCACAUUGCGCCCGCUAGCAUUCUGGCGGGCAUGCCUGUCCGAGCGU
rnacentral:rRNA from 1 species